AGCGUUAUUCGGAAUUAUUGGGCGUAAAGGGCGCGUAGGCGGCUUGGCAUGUGGAUGGUGAAAUCCCUCGGCUUAACCGAGGAACGGCCGUCCAAACUGCUUCGCUUGAGACCGGGAGAGGGGAGUGGAAUUCCCAGUGUAGCGGUGAAAUGCGUAGAUAUUGGGAGGAACACCAGUGGCGAAGGCGGCUCACUGGACCGGUACUGACGCUGAGGUGCGAAAGCGUGGGGAGCAAACAGG
rnacentral:rRNA from 1 species